AUGGCGAUGCCUCUACUGUUGUCAUUGCUGCUCAUUUCUUCAGGAACUGGCAACACCCGAUGCUCGACGGUCCCCGGUAACACCACGGACAUGCUCUCGUUGCUAGAUUUCAAACGGGCCAUCAUCAAUGAUCCAAGGCAAGCCUUGAGCUCUUGGAACACAAGCAUCCCUCAUUGCCAGUGGGAGGGCAUCAACUACAGCCUCACGCACACAGGCCGUGUCACGGCGCUUAAUCUCACCGGCCAAAACUUGCAAGGCCAAAUUACCCCCUCUCUUGGAAAUCUAACCUUCCUUAGAAAACUCAUCCUCUACUCAAACGACUUUUUUGGUCAGUUGCCCACUCUUAACCGUCUCCAUAAGCUGCAGCACCUUGAUCUGGCUGAUAACAAGUUGCAGGGUUUCAAUCCUGAUGCUCUUAAAAAUUGCUCCAACUUGCACCAUCUAGACCUUUCUGCAAACUCGUUGAAGGGUUCGCUCCCCACAAAAAUUGGUAUCCUCUCUAGCCUUGUGAGUUUGAGACUUGGAGGAAACAAUAUCUCCGGCAUCAUCCCAUCAAGCCUGCACAAUAUAACAAACCUUGAGGAAAUCGAUCUCUCAAGUCAUCAGUUAAGGGGGAGCAUUCCGGAAGAGCUUGGGCAGUUACCAAGUAUGUCUGCGUUAUUUCUAGGGGGCAACAGGCUAUCAGGUCGAAUCCCAACAACAAUUCUAAACCAUUCUGCUCUAGUAGCUCUUGCCUUGAAUUCAAAUUUUCUAUGCAUGGAGUUGCCAUCUAACAUUGGUGAUACUCUUCCUAAGCUUGCCUGGUUAGACUUGCACAGUAACAUGUUUAAAGGUCAAAUCCCAGACUCCCUAGAAGGUCCAAUACCUCCGGAGAUCAGCAAUCUUAAACAGGCCACAGAACUACAGCUUUCAUCGAACAACAUACACUACAAGAAAAUUGGAUCAAAGGAAAGAAGGAGGGGCUACUACGUAAGGAAGGACAGAUCGGAUCGUGUGCAAACUCACACAAGAGACAGCUGGCUGUAUGAUAAUAUGAACAAGAAGAGGAGGCCGAGGCAGCUUUGGGUGGCAAAAGAUGAUCCAGAACGACAGAUUGUGCAUGAUGGUUUUAUACGUGAUAACAGGCGUAGGACGAUGUCAGUCUUUGAGCGGAUUUCGGAGAUGGACUGUGUCGGGAAAAGUGGAGGGCUUGCUUUGUGGUGGAGAGAUCAUCUGCAGGUCACAGUCCGUCCAUGGUGUCAAUAUUUCAUCGAUGCAGUGGUAGCUGAUGAGGGUAAGAACUAUAGAAUCACUGGAUUCUAUGGUGAACCCCGUACUGAGUUGCGCAAAAAGUCUUGGGAUGCAAUACGAUAUUUGCGGGCUCAAGAUGACUUACCUUGGAUUUGCUUGGGAGAUUUUAAUGAGGCUCUUUUCCAGUCAGAUCAAAUUGGCGGAAACCCUAGACCGUUCAUGCAAAUGGAGGACUUUCGCGACUGUCUCGCCGACUGCGGCCUGGCAGACUUGGGUUUUUCGGGUUACCAAUAUACAUGGGAUAAUAAACGGGACGGAGCAGAGAAUAUACAGGUUCGGUUAGACCGCGCUGUUUGUACGGAUGAUUUCUUGCAUCUCUUUCCGGAGACGUUGGUGGAAAACAUCAUGACGGAGGAUUCAGAUCAUCAGGCUAUUUUGGGAUUGCGAGCGAUCUGGCAGAAACUUAGAUGCACAACGGGCUCCAUGCAGCGAUGGGCGAGGGAGGUUUUUGGCUCUAUAAGAAUUUCGAUAACCAGGUUGAAGCACCAGCUUGCAGAGGCAAAAACGAGGGCACUCGUCUCCGGGUCCUCACUGGAGGUCCAGGAGAUUGAAGAUCAGCUCAAAGAAAUUUAUACAAGGGAGGAGGUUAUGUACAAACAACGCUCGAGGGUGGAUUGGCUGAGUGCGGGCGACCAGAAUACAAGAUAUUUUCAAAACCGCGCUUCACAUUGGAAGAGGAAAAACACGGUGAAAGCUUUGCGUAGGGAGGAUGGAUCUAGGUGCACAAGCGAUGAACAUAUGCGUGAGAUGGCAGCACAGUAUUAUGAAAAUCUUUUCUCUUCAGAGGGUUCGGUGGGAGCAAGUAAUCUUCUCCAACACAUUGAUCAGCUUGUUACGCCGGAGAUGAAUGAUGCAUUAACUGCUACGAUCACCGACGAGGAGAUCAGAGAGGCGUCUUCCAGAUGGGCGCAACGAAGGCACCGGGGCCGGACGGCCUCCCGGCCCUUUUCUACCAACGCCACUGGGCGCAAUAUAGUGUUCUUGGAAGGGUCGAGGGCCAACAUGGAGGCUCUCAAAGGGAUCCUGGCUUCUUAUGAGGAGGCCUACGGCCAGCGAGUCAACUUGCAAAAAUCGUCCAUCUUUUUUGGUAAGGGAUGCCAGGAGGAGGUGAAGGCUGAGCUAAAGGGCGCUCUUGGAGUGAUGUCCGAGGCGUUGAGUGAGAGGUACCUGGGAUUACCGACACUGGUUGGUAGAUCGAAGGAAGGUACAUUCCAAUAUGUCACAGAGAGCUCAAAAAAGAAAGAGCGUGCUUCAUGGCCGAGACCUUCUCAGGGAGGGUGUGAUUUGCGAAUUGGAGAUGGUUCAAAAGUCCAUAUUCACCAUGAUAAUUGGAUACCAAGAAUGGGGUGCAUGAGACCACUGGGUCAAGUUUAUGUGCCGGGCGUCACGCGGGUUGCUGACCUGCUGUCUUCGGACGGGCGCUCUUGGGACCCGGCUAAAGUAAACGCCAUGUUCAGUCCUAGUGAUGCGAAGGAUAUCUUUCAGAUUACAAUUGGCGGGCCGGAUGAGCAAGAUUAUGUGGCAUGGAAUUACACUAGAAAUGGAUGCUUUAAUGUAAAGUCGGCGUACCACUUGAGGAGAUCGCUGGAUCGUUCGAGGACCGGACAGCCGGAGCCCUCUGACUUGGUUCAGAUGCAUAAGGGGUUCAUGGCGCUGUGGGAGUCAUGUGCCCCGGCCAAAGCAAAAAUUCAUACGUGGCGCAUGAUCAAGAACGGGCUGGCUGUAGGGUAUGAACUACAUCGACGUCGGAUAAAACCAGGAGUUUUUUGUGUUUUCUGUGGUCGUGAAGAAACGAUUCAUCAUCGUUUUUGGUCAUGUCAACAUUCAGUGAGGUUCUGGCAGCUUCUUCGCUCAGAGAAGGGAGUUUCGGUGGCGAUCCCACCGUGCACGAUCGACUCCCAGAGUGCUCUAGCGCGCUGGUUACUUAACUGGUUCUCGGGUGCUUCAGUCGAAGAGAAGGAGAUUAUGGUGCAGGCUACUUAUGGUCUGUGGCUAGCUCGUAAUGCUACAAGAGAAGGUAAACCCAUUGCGACACCACAUGAAAUAGUGCACACAGUGUUCACUCACAUGGCAGAAUGGAAAGCGGUACAUCGGGAGACGCCGAGGGAGCCGAAGCAGACACAAUCGCAGAGAUGGAGGCCACCAGAUGAAGGCUGGAUAAAAGUAAACUCGGAUGGAGCAAUCUCAAAGUAUAGCCAAAAAGGGGGAGGUGGCGCGGUGUUGAGGGAUCACAACGGUGGAUUUCUGGCAGCUGCCUGCCACUUCUUCCCGAACGCUGUCGAUCCAGAAGCUUCGGAGAUACUGGCUUGCAAGAGGGGCUUGCAGGUGGCAGUGGAGAUGAAUGCUACAAGAGUUAAUGUGGAGUUGGAUGCCCAGGCCGUGGUGCAUAUGAUACAGCAAGACAGCAAGAAUCUUUCCGCCGUCGGUCCGUGGGUAGAAGAAAUCAAAACCAUCCUUGGUAGCUUUGCUGAGAGUAAAGUUUCUUGGGUUAGUCGUAGUGCUAAUGUUGCCGCUCAUCGAACAAAUUUAGAGUCGCGCAAAGGGCGCCCUCUCGCGACGUCCACGUGGGCGCAAGGGACUGAGCUGCCUAUUCCGUCCGCAUCCCUGCUGCCGUCGCUGCCCUCCCAAUUCACUCUGCUCCUGCGGCUUCACUCCACCUCUUCCUCCUCCACGCCGUCAGGGGCGCCCCUCAAGCUCCACCUCAUCGGUUCCCCACCCCAGGCUCUGCCUCCCCCGCCCAUGCUACUCUCUAUGCGCGGAGGCUGGACGGAGGAGGAGGAUCAGGAGGGCCGCAGGGAUGGAGGAGUAGCCGCCGACUCCUCUACUCCUUUCUCUCAGCGUCGCCAGAUCAGGGGAACCACCAAGCGCAUAUCAGAGAGGCCACGAGCCCAUGACCGGGGUAGAAGAAGCAUCAUCAACCAGAUCCGGAGCUCAGCGCUCCCGCCGCCCUUGCCAGCGGGCACCUGCUCGUCAAGGGUGUGGUCCAUAAGAACUCCUUCGAGGUGGCCGCGACCUAAGGUUCCUGGAGCUCGCGCGGUCGUGCUCGAGAACCUUCUGCUAUCAACCAAUGGGGAUGCCAUUACAUUGGAAAUUGGCAAUUUUGGAUUUGCCCGUAAGAAGCUGGUGACCUGCUCCAAGGACAAGUUUAUCCUGGUCUGGGGCCUCGACACACAACACUGCAUUCAAAUUGUUGAUGGCAAGGCCACCACAACGAGAUAUGGUCAAUGGGUGUUGAUCCUAGCGAGAAAUUUUUGGUGUCUCACUUGGCCGAUCCAGAGUUGCGGAUGCGGGAAGGGCAAGAGACGGAGGCUUGGAUGUGAUCAUUUUUGGAGUGGGUUAUUAAGAAGUUCUAUGAAGUUCGCUACAGAUAAUGAUUCCAGAUUAAGUGUCACAACUUGUAGUUCUGCUCCUUCUGUACCGUUAAGAAUGGAAACCUCAAAGGUAGCAAGGACUAGGAAAUUAUCAUCAAACCGUGGUGUUUCAUCGAGGGCGAUCUUUAUCAAUGAGGAGGAGUUGGAGCAGAUGAGAUUUCAAAUGGCUUUAGUGAGAAGAGAUGUAAAUCAUUAUUCUAGACAGAAAGGGCAGUCGGAUUUAGUGUGGCAGUUCUUAUGCAACAUUCCUGUAAAUAUGCUGGCAGAGUACCUUCCGGGCCUCCCAGCUUCUGUUUCAUUUGACGAGCAUCAAGACAUUUGUAACUGCUUAUUUGUUUCUACCAUCAACUGGAGGAAGCUUGAGAAUCUGGGUACCAGAUCUCGCCAAGGUGGUGAGAUGGAGGCCUGCUUCCUGCUGUUUUGUUGGUUGAUGCAGUUCCAGGGCCUCAAAGAGCACGUUCUUGUUGAUGACCUCUUCCUCGCCAAGCUUGUCGUGGAACUGCAAAAACCAAGUGAAAAGGACGCCUGCCAACCUGGCACCGCUCUCAACUUCCUCUCAGUAGGCGCCAAGUGUGUUGGACGCGUAGGGGAGCAAAAACUAUGGAGUUGUCAGUCCACCAACGCUCUUUCUAGAGCUAUACUUGUGCACGUCGGGAAAGUAGCUAAGUUGCCGGGAAGCGUAGAUUACUGCCACAUGUGUGGAAGCCUAUCUGAGGCAUCUGUGUUACUUGGCGGGAUAUUGAAGGAGACCAAGCAAGGUCAUGUGCAUAACCAGGCUGGGAGCGCACAGGCCCGCCUCAGGAGGCGCCACCAGGUGGCGCCCCAGCCUCUAUGGAGAAAUAGCAACCAAGGGCUAAUAUUCAAAAAGGCAAGUCACCUUCCCCCAAAUCCCCCAAAUCAGAUCGUCCCUGGCGGCGGCCGACGCGUUCCUUGGUGUCUGACUCGUUCCUGCCGGCGGAGGGGGCGGCGGAAGGCGGAGGGCGCGCUCCUCGCGGCGGCUGGCGUUUUCCUCGCGGCAGAAGAGAGGGGGCUCUUCCUUGCAGCAGCGGCGGGCAUGUUCCUCGCGGCGGCGGCGGCGGCGUGCGUGUUCCUCGCGACGGCAGCGGCGGGCUUGUCCCUUGCGGCGGUGGUGGCAGCUCGGCCGCGUGGGGGAGAACAAGUUAGCAAUGAUGAAGACCAAGUUGAUGAGUCACUUGAAGAUGAGGAAGAUCUUGAUGAUUUUGAUGGAUUUGAUAUGGUCCAAGAUCUGCUAGGAGAUAUCCAUAGAGCUACGAUUGGGGUUGAUGAGCAAGAGAACCAUAAUCAUGCUAGAGGUAGCAUUCCGGAGCCCAAUGAGUCAUCGACCAGAUUUGACGGCUUGCUGAGAAGUGCACGACGUGAACUAUACCGAGGCUGCAAAGGCCACUCGGUGCUAUCCUUUGUUUUAAAGCUGAAACGGUCCACAAUUGGGAAGGCUAACCGCUCAAACCUACCUUAUGUUCACAAGAAGGGAACAAAGUCAUUUGUAGCGGUUCAACAUGAAUUAAAUUGUGGUGAUAUCGGACUAUACAAGGAGUGUUACUCUAGUGAUAAGAAGGGAUGGGCAUCAGAAGAUGCCAGGAAUAAACAUGAAGAAAUGUUGCAGAAGCAAAAGGAACCUAUAGAGGAGGGUGAAGUAUCUUUAACAGAGCAACAGAUUUGCGAGCAUGUGCUUGGUAAGGCAUAUGGUUACAUCAGAGGUCGGGGUCAUGGACCAAAACCAAAUAGAAGGGCUUACUCAAGCGUAUCAAGCUCAACUCAGCAUGUAGUGGAAGAAUUGGCCUCUACAAAGGAGAUUGUUGCUACGCAACAAACUCAAAUUGAGGCUCAACAAUCUCAACUUGAAGCUCAACAGAAGAAGAUCGAUUGGCUACAAAGUGUCGUGUCUAACUUGGUUGGCAUUUCACCUCCUAUGGACGGCACUAGUGCAACAGGGCUAGGUUUCACAACUGAGCGGCCAAUGCCAUCUGACGGAAUAGGUUCACUGAUGUCUAACACUGUACAAAGGAUGUCAACUUUUCCAAGAUCAUUUGCAAGUCAUUUGAGGCCAGGAUAUAGACCUGCUCCAACUUCUUCUUCUGAUGGAAAUGGCUCUCUAGUGUCGGAUGGAGGGUCCAGGCGGUUCCUUAGAGUUACUUACAAAGAUUUAAAUCAAGCAACAGGGAGCUUCUCAGAGGCAAACCUCCUGGGAAGAGGAAGCUAUGGUACAGUGUACAGAGGAAACCUAACUCAAGCUAAGAUUGAAGUGGCUAUUAAGGUUUUUGAUCUUGAUAUAAAAUGUGUAAACAAAAGUUUUGUGACGGAAUGCGAGGUUUUGAGAAGCAUUCGACAUCGGAACCUUCUGCCGAUCCUAAGCGCAUGUACGACGGUAGACAAUAAUGGCAACAAUUUCAAGGCUCUAAUUUAUGAGUUCAUGCCUAAUGGGAAUUUGGACACAUGGUUGCAUAACAAAUUUUCUGAUAGUUCUUCGAAAUGUUUGAGCUUAGUACUUCUAGAGAUGCUGAUUGGCAAAGGACCAACGGAUCCUUUAUUUCAGAAUGAACUUAGCAUGGUCAACUUUGUGGAGAGAAACUAUCCAGAUCAGGUAUUACAAAUCAUUGAUGCUCGUCUUGAUGGAGAAUACAAGGGAUAUAUCCAAGCAUACACUGGAACAGAAAAUGCGGCCUACAAAUGUUUAUUAUCGCUCAUGCAAGUCGCUCUUUCUUGUACGUGCAUGAUACCAAGGGAGCGGAUGAACAUAAGAGAAUGGACUCGGAAGCCGCUUGCCGAGGAGUUGGAGGAAUGGCUUGAUCCGACCGGACCUGGCCCCAAGGGCUCGUUGAAAUGCCUCGUGAAGAAGGAUACCACCGAGGAAGGGCAGCGAGCGAGCUGCAUUUCCUCAAGUAGCUGCUAG
rnacentral:rRNA from 1 species